UACGUAGGGGGCAAGCGUUGUCCGGAUUUAUUGGGCGUAAAGAGCGUGUAGGCGGCCAGAUAGGUCCGUUGUGAAAACUCGAGGCUCAACCUCGAGACGCCGUUGGAAACCAUCUGGCUAGAGUCCGGAAGAGGAGAGUGGAAUUCCUGGUGUAGCGGUGAAAUGCGCAGAUAUCAGGAAGAACACCCGUGGCUAAGGCGGCUCUCUAGUACGGUACUGACGCUGAGACGCGAAGGCCAGGGGAGCAAACGGG
rnacentral:rRNA from 1 species